rnacentral:rRNA from 1 species
GCCGUAGGGCGCGAGCGUUGUCCGGAUUUCUUGGGCGUAAAGAGCUCGUAGGCGGCUUGUCGCGUCGUUCGUGAAAACCUGUGGCUCAACUACAGGCUUGCGGUCGAUACGGGCAGGCUGGAGUUCGGUAGGGGAGACUGGAAUUCCUGGUGUAGCGGUGAAAUGCGCAGAUAUCAGGAGGAACACCGGUGGCGAAGGCGGGUCUCUGGGCCGAUACUGACGCUGAGGAGCGAAAGCGUGGGGAGCGAACAGG